rnacentral:rRNA from 1 species
UACGAAGGGGGCUAGCGUUGUUCGGAAUUACUGGGCGUAAAGCGCACGUAGGCGGAUCGAUCAGUCAGGGGUGAAAUCCCGGGGCUCAACCCCGGAAUGGCCUUCAAAACUCCUGGUCUUGAGUUCGAGAGAGGUGAGUGGAAUUCCGAGUGUAGAGGUGAAAUUCGUAGAUAUUCGGAGGAACACCAGUGGCGAAGGCGGCUCACUGGCUCGACACUGACGCUGAGGUGCGAAAGCGUGGGGAGCAAACAGG